rnacentral:rRNA from 1 species
UACGUAGGGGGCAAGCGUUGUCCGGAUUUAUUGGGCGUAAAGAGCGUGUAGGCGGCUUCACAGGUCCGCUGUGAAAACUCGAGGCUCAACCUCGAGAUGUCGGUGGAAACCGUGUGGCUAGAGUCCGGAAGAGGAGAGUGGAAUUCCCGGUGUAGCGGUGAAAGUGCGCAGAUAUCAGGAAGAACACCCGUGGCGAAGGCGGCUCUCUGGGACGGUACUGACGCUGAGACGCGAAAGCGUGGGGAGCGAACAGG